GUGCUCGCUUCGGCAGCACAUAUACUAAAACUGGAACAACACAGAGAAGAUUAGCAUGGCCCCAGCGCAAGGAUGACACACAAAUUUGUGAAGCGUUCCAUAAUUUU
rnacentral:snRNA from 1 species